AUUGAACGCUGGCGGCAGGCCUAACACAUGCAAGUCGAACGAGUGGCGGACGGGUGAGUAAUGUCUGGGAAACUGCCCGAUGGAGGGGGAUAACUACUGGAAACGGUAGCUAAUACCGCAUACCAUCGGAUGUGCCCAGAUGGGAUUAGCUAGUAGGGGGGGUAACGGCUCACCUAGGCGACGAUCCCUAGCUGGUCUGAGAGGAUGACCAGCCACACUGGGACUGAGAAACGGUGCAGAAUCCUCCGGGGGGCAGCAGUGGGGAAUAUUGCACAAUAGGGGCAAGCCUGAUGAAGCAAUGCCGCGUGUAGGAAGAAGGAGUUCGGGUGGUAAAGUACUUUCAGCGGGGAGGCGUUACUCGCAGAAGAAGCACCGGCUAACUCCGUGCCAGCAAGCCCGGUAAUAC
rnacentral:rRNA from 1 species